rnacentral:rRNA from 1 species
UGACCUGCGGAGGUCAUU